ACUCCUGUCGUUCAAGGGAUAGGAUGUCAGCUUCCGAAGCUGAUGAUGGUGGUUCGAAUCCGCCCUGGAGUA
rnacentral:tRNA from 1 species